rnacentral:hammerhead_ribozyme from 1 species
AUCCAGUUGACGAGUCUCAAAUAAGACGAAACGCGCGUCCUAGAU